rnacentral:rRNA from 1 species
GAUGAACGCUGGCGGCGUGCCUAAUACAUGCAAGUCGAGCGAACAGACGAGGAGCUUGCUCCUCUGACGUUAGCGGCGGACGGGUGAGUAACACGUGGAUAACCUACCUAUAAGACUGGGAUAACUUCGGGAAACCGGAUCUAAUACCGGAUAAUAUAUUGAACCGCAUGGUUCAAUAGUGAAAGACGGUUUUGCUGUCACUUAUAGAUGGAUCCGCGCCGCAUUAGCUAGUUGGUAAGGUAACGGCUUACCAAGGCAACGAUGCGUAGCCGACCUGAGAGGGUGAUCGGCCACACUGGAACUGAGACACGGUCCAGACUCCUACGGGAGGCAGCAGUAGGGAAUCUUCCGCAAUGGGCGAAAGCCUGACGGAGCAACGCCGCGUGAGUGAUGAAGGUCUUCGGAUCGUAAAACUCUGUUAUUAGGGAAGAACAAAUGUGUAAGUAACUAUGCACGUCUUGACGGUACCUAAUCAGAAAGCCCCGGCUAACUACGUG